GGAAUGAUGUAAAUAUAUGUGUUGUACCAGACACGACACAAGAAGUACUGCUGAAGAAGCAAAAGAAAAAAAAACACUCUCAGGCGUAACACAACAGUUUAAUGUUUAUACUGCAGAACAUGUGCACACUCAAUAUCACUUCACUGUCAUAAACACACAGUAAUUGGAUGCAAGAAGUUAGCAAUGGCCUGAAAUGGGGCCAACUGUGGUCAUCCGUUGGUCUGUUGUGCCUUGGGACUGGUGAUACAUAAGCAGAGGAGAGCUGUGCGUUAUUUCCAGUGGUUAAGGUCGCAUCCGGAGAGGAGAGCAGUGCGUUAUUUCCAGUAGUUAAGGUCGCAUCCGGAGAGGAGAGCAGUGCGUUAUUUCCAGUCGUUAAGGUCGCAUCCGGAGAGGAGAGCUGUGCGUUAUUUCCAGUCGUUAAGGUCGCAUCCGUAGAGGAGAGCUGUGCGUUAUUUCCAGUCGUUAAGGUCGCAUCCGUAGAGGAGAGCUGUGCGUUAUUUCAAGUAGUUUAAAAAAUGUCAAGCACAUGCUGGCACAUCCAGGUGAAGUGCUGCCAUUUCUUCUGCUUAAUAAUCACAUACCACUACCAC
ensembl:lncRNA